AAUUCAGAUUCAGCAGGUUUCUUUCCAUCUGGCCCUCCAACUACUUUACAAUCACCUCCGUAUGCUUUUAUAUAUUGCAGAGCCAAGCAUGCCAAGCCAGGGUUACUGUAUAAGGAGGAUAAUUUAUUCGCAGUUCUGUUACUAUUAAGGGCAGAUACCAGCUCAUCAGCAGGAUUAUCAGUUACCUUGGUUUGAACUUUAGCAGCAGAAGCUGAGAUGAAGAAAAUGCAAAGAAGAGGAAACCAUUGAAGCAUUGCCAUUUCUGUACAGAAGAUGUCGGUGGGAGUGGGGUGG
rnacentral:misc_RNA from 1 species